rnacentral:rRNA from 1 species
AUUGAACGCUGGCGGCAUGCCUAACACAUGCAAGUCGAACGCGAAAGGGUUUCGGCCUGAGUAGAGUGGCGGACGGGUGAGUAAAGCGUGGGAAUCUGCCCUGCAGUGGGGGACAACCCGGGGAAACUCGGGCUAAUACCGCAUACGACCUACGGGUGAAAGGGGGGUUUCGGCCUCUCGCUGCAGGAUGAGCCCACGUCCGAUUAGCUAGUUGGUAGGUAAAGCCUACCAAGGCGACGAUCGGUAGCUGGUCUGAGAGGAUGAUCAGCCACACUGGGACUGAGACACGGCCCAGACUCCUACGGGUGGCUGG